UUCAUGUACCUUAAGUAAGUAUAUACUUUAAAAUAGGAACCCUUCUCUUCCCAUUUUAAAUACAGGUUUGAAUAGAGAACAUUUUUUUAGAAAUCUUAAUGUGCAUAACACUAAUAUCAAAUUUACCGUUUAUGAAUUAUAGCAGUUUAAAGUUUGGACCGGAGGAGUAGAGAAGGGUCAUGAAUCGCAUAUAUAUUUUUGAAUGAUAAAUUGAUAACCCUUCCAUACUUCUCCGAUCUAAACUUUAAACUGUUAUAACUCAUAAACGCUGAAUUUAAUAUUAGUGUUAUGCAUAACAAAAUAAAUUUCUAAAAUAAUUAUCUUUGUUUGUAUAUGUGUUUUAAAGGAAGAAGGUUUGCUAUUUAAAAAUCCAAAGUGAGUACUCAUUUUAGGUAUGAGAGUAUGGGUGAAAAAUGUAAAACAGUAUUAAAAUAAAGCUCAAACGAUUCCGUAAUACAUUCCAUUACAUAUAUUUACCUUUUUUCAAAGGGCUCGUAAAUAAAAUAAAUUAAAAUAAAGUACUUAAUGAUGAAAAACAAAUUAAAUUCGAUAAAAAUCCUCCAAGAAAAUUGAUGGUUCAUGACAAAAAAAUCGCUUUGUACAUAUUGUGCAUAUUUAUAUUACCUACAUAAUAUUAUUUAUUGCAAAUUAAUAUUUUGAACUAUGGUCCACGGUUAUUUAUUAGGAAAUAUAAAGUUCCAGCUUUUGAAAUUUGUACGCGCACAUCAGCUGGUUCUUAGAGUGAAAUGACUGCGACAGAUUAUUAUAAUUUAUUGGACCUAAUUCGUGGGUCAAAACAAUAGAUAAGUUAUGAUUUCCGUAUAGACCAUUGGUGUAUGUAUAGUCUAUUUUCCAUUUUUUAUUGAUACCUAUAGUAAAUGUCAAAUAUAUUUGCUUGACAAUCUGAGAGCUGGUAUAUAUUAUUUAAACAAAAAUUAGUCUAUAAAAUAUGCGGCGAUUCGAAAAUGUAUAUGCAUAUACUUAAUAAUAUUUUUAUUACCUAUAUAAUAAACAAGCCAUGUCAUUAUACUUUACAAAGUAAUAAAUAAUAAAAAUCAAAACGUCAUUUAAAAAAAAAUCAAAUUGGAAAAAACAUAGCUUGAUGGAGUAUUAUAUCCAGUAUUCAAAUUUAGGUGGGAUGCGCAGAUUGACGGCGCUCCCCUACUUCAACUAAUUUCUCUUUUUUUUUUUUUUUUUUUUUUAGUGUCACCUUACUAAUAAUUAUUUCUAUUAGGACAGAAGAAAAGUAUGUAUUUUUUUUGUAAAUAGUUACCUAUUUAUAAAUAUAAGAAAAAAAAAUUACUAUCAACUCAGAUAUAUAUUUAAUAUUAUAAAUUUAUUUUUUAGAAUUUAAUAUUAUUAAUAACGUACAUUAAAUAGAUAUAUAAACAAGAACGAACCUCGGUUAGAUUGAGUUCAAUAAUUUCAUGGAAUGACAAUUUUUAUCAAGUCUCAUAGUCCCUUUUCUUCUAUAUACCUAAUUGGAGCACUAAUUUUUAUUUUACAUUAAUUGCAUUUAUUAUUUUUAUAUACCUAAAAUUAAAAAUUAAUAAAACCUUAAAAUUAAUUUUUUUUUUUUAUAAUAUUAAAAAUUAUCAGUAAGGUAUAUUUAGAGUUUAUUAUAUUAAUUGGCUAUCAUAAUAAAUUGAAAGGCAACUAGUUUUAUUUAUUUUCAUAGUGAAUAUUUUCUAUAUGCCUAUCUAUAGGAAUGACGGAUUCUGUAGUUUCACUUAGAGAGUUAUAUAGAGAAAAUAGCAUAUGUAGUGGUCGGUACCGGUAAGUGAUGGAAACUAGGUACUAAACUUUUGGUCUAUACCAACGUCGUACCUUUUACUAUAGUCAAAAUACCAAAACGAUCAAUCCCUAGAAUAUAAUUAUAAUUUCUAGACCGCGAAGUGUGUAGUAUUGUGGUCAAAUAAAUAUAAUUUUCUCCGGUGUAAAAAAAAAACCAACAUUUAUCAAUAUAUCGAGUACAUUAUUAAAAUUAACAUAAUAAUAUUACGUAUUAUAAUAAGGUUUUAUCUACUUACAGAAUAUAUAAUUAUACAAUAUAAUAAUAUAUAAUUUAUAUUUUAACUACCUAUAUAAUGUAUACGUCUUGUGUUUUAUAUUAUUAUCAGUAGC